AACGAUGAUGCCCAGCUUGCUGGGUGGAUUAGUGGCGAACGGGUGAGUAAUACGUGAGUAACCUGCCCUUGACUCUGGGAUAAGCCUGGGAAACUGGGUCUAAUACUGGAUACUACCUCUCAUCGCAUGGUGGGGGGUGGAAAGGGUUUUACUGGUUUUGGAUGGGCUCACGGCCUAUCAGCUUGUUGGUGGGGUAAUGGCUCACCAAGGCGACGACGGGUAGCCGGCCUGAGAGGGUGACCGGCCACACUGGGACUGAGACACGGCCCAGACUCCUACGGGAGGCAGCAGUGGGGAAUAUUGCACAAUGGGCGAAAGCCUGAUGCAGCGACGCCGCGUGAGGGAUGACGGCCUUCGGGUUGUAAACCUCUUUCAGUAGGGAAGAAGCGCAAGUGACGGUACCUGCAGAAGAAGCGCCGGCUAACUACGUGCCAGCAGCCGCGGUAAUACGUAGGGCGCAAGCGUUGUCCGGAAUUAUUGGGCGUAAAGAGCUCGUAGGCGGUUUGUCGCGUCUGCUGUGAAAGCCCGGGGCUCAACCCCGGGUCUGCAGUGGGUACGGGCAGACUAGAGUGCAGUAGGGGAGACUGGAAUUCCUGGUGUAGCGGUGAAAUGCGCAGAUAUCAGGAGGAACACCGAUGGCGAAGGCAGGUCUCUGGGCUGUUACUGACGCUGAGGAGCGAAAGCAUGGGGAGCGAACAGGAUUAGAUACCCUGGUAGUCCAUGCCGUAAACGUUGGGCACUAGGUGUGGGGGACAUUCCACGUUUUCCGCG
rnacentral:rRNA from 1 species